rnacentral:rRNA from 1 species
CCUACGGGAGGCUGCAGUGGGGAAUAUUGCACAAUGGGCGCAAGCCUGAUGCAGCCAUGCCGCGUGUGUGAAGAAGGCCUUCGGGUUGUAAAGCACUUUCAGCGGGGAGGAAGGCGUUAAGGUUAAUAACCUUGGCGAUUGACGUUACCCGCAGAAGAAGCACCGGCUAACUCCGUGCCAGCAGCCGCGGUAAUACGGAGGGUGCAAGCGUUAAUCGGAAUUACUGGGCGUAAAGCGCACGCAGGCGGUCUGUCAAGUCGGAUGUGAAAUCCCCGGGCUCAACCUGGGAACUGCAUUCGAAACUGGCAGGCUAGAGUCUUGUAGAGGGGGGUAGAAUUCCAGGUGUAGCGGUGAAAUGCGUAGAGACCUGGAGGAAUACCGGUGGCGAAGGCGGCCCCCUGGACAAAGACUGACGCUCAGGUGCGAAAGCGUGGGGAGCAAACAGGAUUAGAUACCCUAGUAGUC